rnacentral:rRNA from 1 species
GACGUAGGGCGCGAGCGUUGUCCGGAUUUAUUGGGCGUAAAGAGCUCGUAGGCGGCUUGUUGCGUCUGCCGUGAAAGCCCGUGGCUUAACUACGGGUCUGCGGUGGAUACGGGCAGGCUAGAGGCUGGUAGGGGCAAGCGGAAUUCCUGGUGUAGCGGUGAAAUGCGCAGAUAUCAGGAGGAACACCGGUGGCGAAGGCGGCUUGCUGGGCCAGUUCUAACGCUGAGGAGCGAAAGCGUGGGGAGCGAACAGG